rnacentral:rRNA from 1 species
CCUACGGGAGGCAGCAGUAAGGAAUAUUGGACAAUGGACGCAAGUCUGAUCCAGCCAUGCCGCGUGAAGGAUUAAGGCCCUCUGGGUUGUAAACUUCUUUUAUAGGGGACGAAAAAAGGGCUUUCUAGCUCGACUGACGGUACCCUAUGAAUAAGCACCGGCUAACUCCGUGCCAGCAGCCGCGGUAAUACGGAGGGUGCAAGCGUUAUCCGGAUUCACUGGGUUUAAAGGGUGCGUAGGCGGGUAGGUAAGUCAGUGGUGAAAUCUUCGAGCUCAACUCGGAAACUGCCAUUGAUACUAUUUAUCUUGAAUAUUGUGGAGGUGAGCGGAAUAUGUCAUGUAGCGGUGAAAUGCUUAGAUAUGACAUAGAACACCAAUUGCGUAGGCAGCUCGCUACACAUAUAUUGACGCUGAGGCACGAAAGCGUGGGGAUCAAACAGGAUUAGAUACCCUGGUAGUCCACGCCCUAAACUAUGAUUACUCGACAUAUGCGAUACACUGUAUGUGUCUGNGNGAGANAUAUAUACACNGAGACGACGCGAGUAGAAGUAAUAGAGUAGAGAGNGAGAGNGCGAGGACGACACGAGGGAGGAGG